rnacentral:rRNA from 1 species
UGGCAGAUGAGUGCUAGUGUUGGAGGGUUUCCGCCCUUCAGUGCUGCAGCAAACGCAUUAAGCACUCCGCCUGGGGAGUACGACCGCAAGGUUGAAACUCAAAGGAAUUGACGGGGGCCCGCACAAGCGGUGGAGCAUGUGGUUUAAUUCGAAGCAACGCGAAGAACCUUACCAGGUCUUGACAUCCUUUGACCACUCUAGAGAUAGAGCUUUCCCUUCGGGGACAAAGUGACAGGUGGUGCAUGGUUGUCGUCAGCUCGUGUCGUGAGAUGUUGGGUUAAGUCCCGCAACGAGCGCAACCCUUAUUGUUAGUUGCCAUCAUUUAGUUGGGCACUCUAGCGAGACUGCCGGUGACAAACCGGAGGAAGGUGGGGAUGACGUCAAAUCAUCAUGCCCCUUAUGACCUGGGCUACACACGUGCUACAAUGGGAAGUACAACGAGUCGCUAGACCGCGAGGUCAUGCAAAUCUCUUAAAGCUUCUCUCAGUUCGGAUUGCAGGCUGCAACUCGCCUGCAUGAAGCCGGAAUCGCUAGUAAUCGCGGAUCAGCACGCCGCGGUGAAUACGUUCCCGGGCCUUGUACACACCGCCCGUCACACCACGAGAGUUUGUAACACCCGAAGUCGGUGAGGUAACCUUUUUGGAGCCAGCCGCCUAAGGUGGGAUAGAUGAUUGGGGUGAAGUCGUAAGGGGGGACCCCCAAAAAAAGGAGAAAAGGGGAGGGUUUUGGGGGCCUUAAACGGCGCCUUCCGGGCCCAAAAAGGGGGGGCGGACAAACGGGGGGGUCCCCCCCGUUGGUUUUCCCCCUUUUUCCCGGGCCUGCUGGGGGGGGAGGUCUGUGGUGGGCGGGGGGGGGGGCAGAGGGGGCCGGGGGGUGGCCGGGGGGGUCGGCCCGGGGGGGGGGGGGGGGGGGGGGGUUUUUCCCACGUGGGUUUUUUUGAAAAGGGGGGGGGGGGGGUACGGGUUUGUUGGGGGCCCCAGGAGAUGGGGGGGGGGGAGUGGGGGGGGGGGCCCCCUGAGAGUGGUUUUGUGGGGGGGGGGGUGGGGGGGGGGCGUCGGAUUGGGGGCGCGGGGGGGGGGUUUGUGGGGGGGGAAGAAGACCCG